AUUGAACGCUGGCGGCAGGCCUAACACAUGCAAGUCGAGCGAGCGGCGGACGGGUGAGUAAUGUAUGGGGACUGCCCGAUCGAGGGGGAUAACUACUGGAAACGGUGGCUAAUACCGCAUACUAUCGGAUAACCCAUAUGGGAUUAGCUAGUAGGGGGGGGAAAGGCUCACCUAGGCGACGAUCUCUAGCUGGUCUGAGAGGAUGACCAGCCACACUGGAAUUGAGAAACGGCCCAGACUCCUACGGAGGCAGCAGGGGGGAAUAUGGCACAAUGGGCGCAAGCCUGAUGCAGCCAUGCCGCGUGUAGGAAGAAGGCCUUAGGGUUGUAAAGUACUUUCAGCGGGGAGGCGUUACCCGCAGAAGAAGCACCGGCUAACUCCGUGCCAGCAGCCGCGGUAAUUC
rnacentral:rRNA from 1 species